AGCGAGACUCCUACGGGAGGCAGCAGUGAGGAAUAUUGGUCAAUGGCCGAGAGGCUGAACCAGCCAAGUCGCGUGAGGGAAUAAGGCCCUAUGGGUCGUAAACCUCUUUUGUCAGGGAGCAAAGGCGUCCACGAGUGGACGAAAGGAGAGUACCUGAAGAAAAAGCAUCGGCUAACUCCGUGCCAGCAGCCGCGGUAAUACGGAGGAUGCGAGCGUUAUCCGGGUUUAUUGGGUUUAAAGGGUGCGUAGGCGGAGUGUCAAUUCAGCGGUCAAAUUGCGGCGCUCAACCCCGUACGUCCGUUGAAUCUGCAUCCCUUGAGUGCGCGAGAAGUAUGCGGAAUGCGUGGUGUAGCGGUGAAAUGCAUAGAUAUCACGCAGAACUCCGAUUGCGAAGGCAGCAUACCGGCGCGCAACUGACGCUCAUGCACGAAAGCGUGGGUAUCGAACAGGAUUAUAUACCCCCGUA
rnacentral:rRNA from 1 species